rnacentral:rRNA from 1 species
UACGUAGGGGGCAAGCGUUGUCCGGAAUCAUUGGGCGUAAAGAGCGUGUAGGCGGCUCGGUAAGUCCGCUCUGAAAGCCCGGGGCUCAACCCCGGGAGGCGGGCGGAUACUGUCGGGCUAGAGUCCGGAAGAGGCGAGUGGAAUUCCUGGUGUAGCGGUGAAAUGCGCAGAUAUCAGGAGGAACACCAAUGGCGAAGGCAGCUCGCUGGGACGGUACUGACGCUGAGACGCGAAAGCGUAGGGAGCAAACAGG